rnacentral:rRNA from 1 species
UGAGGAAUAUUGGUCAAUGGACGAGAGUCUGAACCAGCCAAGUAGCGUGAAGGACGAAGGCCCUACGGGUCGUAAACUUCUUUUAUAGGGGAAUAAAGUGGAGAACGUGUUCUCCUUUGUAUGUACCCUACGAAUAAGGAUCGGCUAACUCCGUGCCAGCAGCCGCGGUAAUACGGAGGAUCCAAGCGUUAUCCGGAUUUAUUGGGUUUAAAGGGAGCGUAGGUGGACGUAUAAGUCAGUUGUGAAGGUUUGCGGCUCAACCGUAAGAUUGCAGUUGAUACUGUAUGUCUUGAGUGUACAAGAGGUGGGCGGAAUUCGUGGUGUAGCGGUGAAAUGCUUAGAUAUCACGAGGAACUCCGAUUGCGAAGGCAGCUCACUGGGGUACAACUGACACUGAGGCUCGAAAGUGUGGGUAUCAAACAG